UACAGAGGUCUCAAGCGUUGUUCGGAUUCAUUGGGCGUAAAGGGUGCGUAGGCGGCGCAGUAAGUCGGGUGUGAAAUCUCGGAGCUUAACUCCGAAACUGCAUUCGAUACUGCCGUGCUUGAGGACUGGAGAGGAGACUGGAAUUUACGGUGUAGCAGUGAAAUGCGUAGAUAUCGUAAGGAAGACCAGUUGGCGAAAGGCGGGUCUCUGGACAGUUCCUGACACUGAGGCACGAAGGCCAGGGGAGCAAACGGG
rnacentral:rRNA from 1 species